UACGGAGGGUGCAAGCGUUAAUCGGAAUUACUGGGCGUAAAGCGCGCGUAGGCGGUUGGUUAAGUCAGCUGUGAAAGCCCCGGGCUCAACCUGGGAAUUGCAGUUGAUACUGGACGACUAGAGUACGAGAGAGGGAGGUAGAAUUCCACGUGUAGCGGUGAAAUGCGUAGAUAUGUGGAGGAAUACCGGUGGCGAAGGCGGCCUCCUGGCUCGAUACUGACGCUGAGGUGCGAAAGCGUGGGGAUCAAACAGG
rnacentral:rRNA from 1 species